UUGCAGUGAGCCAACAUUGUGCCACUGCACUCCAGACUGGGCCACAGAGUGAGGCUCAGUCUCAAAAAAAAAUUUCAAAAAAAAAAAAAAAAAAAAGAAAUACGUGUAAGGUUUAUAGCCAUUUCCAUGACCCAUUGGUUUUAAUUCAUAAUACAUCAUCUAACUUGGGAGGAAGUUUAGUUCUCCUUUAAUGACUCCAGGCUGCUCCUCUUUCCUUUAUCCAUCUCCAGAUACAGUUCCUCAGUUUCCUCUGACCCCCAAACAUUCCUUUUUAGCACCGUAUUUCCUCUUACUAACAGCUGUCACUCUUACCCUCCAGAAUUUCGUUGGUAAAUUUAACAGGUCUCUUGGAUUUUUGUUGAACCUGCCAUGAAGACAAUCAGAAGAAUUUGUUCCUGAAUCUGAUUUAAACAGUACAAUAUUUAGAGGUAUCAUGUUACAGAGGAAAAUAUUUGAGAGCUGGAGAAACCUAAAUUGAAUUUUAGCCUUAGCAUUUCCUAGCUAAAAAUGCUAUAAAAUAUGUGCAGAUGUAGAUGUGAUAUGAAAAUUACCUUGAGCAAGUCUUUUAUACUCUCUAAGCUUAAUGCGUUGAACUAUAAAACGACUCUAAUGAGAAUAUUUUCAUAGAGUUGGAUAGAGACAAAUGUGAAAAUGCCUUCUGGCACAUUUCUGGUGUGUGAAAAUUAUUACUGUUACUCAUUUUUUUUCUGUAUUCAUUGGCUUUUGAUCAUUUUUGGAACAAAUGACCUAAUGUAGCUGUUGGUGGUAUCAUUGCCUGUCAGCCAAAACUCCCAAGAAAUACAUCUGCAGUGGAACAAAUUUGCCUGUGUUACUUGUUGCAACAAAGGAGACCACACACCAUAAGGGAAUCAGGAAGCAUUUCAGGAUUUAAACCUGUUACGUGGUUUUGGAGGGUGUUUGAAGAAGCAGAGGACUCUCCUGUGUUGGAUACUGUCAGGAAGUAAAAUUAAAUAUAUGCAUGGACAGCUUAAUAUUUUACCUAGGAAGUAGCAGAAACGGAAUGGAACUGAAGAUGUAAUUGGCAAAAAGGCAAUGGCCACUCAUGUGAGCUCAGAGAGGAAGAAACUGGAUUGCUUUUUUUAUAGUAUUUCCAGUAUUGUUGUGUUUGUACUCAGACGUAACUUCCGAGGAAUUUGACUUUUAUCCUACUCUAUCGUGGUCCCACAUUGAAUUCAUCUGAUAUCAGUGUUCUGUGAAAUUGUUUAUCUUAAGUAGACCAUCAUGGUCUUGCUGAUAGUGCAAGCAGACAGCUUUUGGAUAUGUUUUUCUUCUAAUUCUCACUUUUGGUCAACAGCAGAUCAAGUGAGGCCACAGGAAGUUAAUCCAUGAUAUUGAGGAUUUUCACCAUUAUUGCGAUUCUGCCUGUUGGGAGGCCGUCCAGAAAACAUUCUUUGUAUUUGAACAAGUUAGUACCUCUUAUUCCUUUUGUUAUCAGAUGAGUUGUUGAGUGAUCUGACAUGACAAUGGCUAUGUGUUUUAGACUCAGUACAAGAUGCAUCAGUCAAGUGAUUUCUAGGCAACUGUGAAAGACAACAUGACUAUUUAUUAGUCUUUCAAGUCCAGGGGACAAGGUGACUAACUCCAGGCCAUGAAAACAUGAGCCAAAGUCCAAGUGGGUCUGCUCUACGGAUCUAUGUUAUGUACCUUUCUUUCAGUCUAAUCACAGACUGUUCCAUCUCUCCAAUUGUAUAUAUGUUGAUGACACAGGGAGUGUUUACUAUAGCAUGAAUUCCCCUUUAACUAGUAAAUUUAACUAGUUUAUUUUGGGCCUUCACAUUAGAGGGAGUUUGUACUUAAGAGUAAUACUGUAUGGGGCACAGAACCUAUUGAAUGACAAUCACUUUUACAAAAAAAGAAAAAGAAAAACCAAAUCCUCUACUUCUAAUUUUACUAAUUUUAUAUGUUAUUCCUGUAACAAUUACAGGGAAAGAUAAGUAAACCUUCAUGGCUGUAUUUAGGUAUAUGCAUGUAUAUCAACAUAAAAAUAAAUGAUAAAUGUAAAUAUUUUAACUAUAACUUUAAAAUAUAAUUGACCUGUUGAAAUAUGUUAAAACAAUAUAUAUAUUAUACUAUAUCAUCUUAAUACAUUGUAAUGAUUUAACAAUCAAAUCACAGCAAUUAUCUUAUAUCACAUUCCUAUUUUCUGUAAUGAUUGCACUAGUCUACUCAACCUGUUAGGUGGUUUUGGGGGGUAUUUGAAGAAGCAGGUGCUCUAAUAACACUCCAAGGAGCCACUCCAGGAGUUCAGACUGGAACCCAACUCAUAUAAUGUAUAUUAUUAUAUGUAGCCAAAGUAACCAGCGUUCUGCCCCAAACUCAAAGGAAAACUAGAAAACUCUUGAAUUGUUUUACAAUUUUAGCCAAUUUCAACAAAUUUAAGUUAGCAAAACAAAGGUAUGUAAUCAUAAAAGUCAUCUGCAUACCCUGUUAAUUUGUAGCCAUCUUAAGAAAUAAGGGUAAAUUAAAAUUUUAUUAAGUCUUUUGAAUCUCAUUACAAAUUGUCUAGGUAUCAAAGAUUAUUUGUUGAUUCAAUUUAAUAUUUGUCUUAGGUCUUCAAGUUGCUAAAGGUUAUGACUUUAAUUAAUGCAUUAGCUCCUUCUGUUUUGUUUAUAGUACUAAAAGAAAUUUUAUAAGAUUAAAUGGUUUAAAAUAGUAUCUUUUUACAAUUCAAUUUAAUUAUACAGUGACUCCCUUGAUGAGAGAUUCCCAUUAUUAGUUCCUUUUCACAGAUAAAUAAGCUAUCUACUAAGUAUUUAUAAACUAUUUAGUACAGUUAGGCAUCAUUCUGAAGGGUUCACAACUUAAUCAAUUUCAUUUUGAUACUGUGUUUUAUACACUGUGGCUAUUCGAUGUGGAUCUAGACAAUGAUUCCCUUUUGUAAUUUCAUCUUAUGGAUAAUUUUUGUUACAUAUGCUAAGAGUGUAAGUGAGCCGCUUUGAGGAAUAUUAGGUAUGUUUUAAAGAAAAGAAUUCAUGUAAAUAUCUGUUUUUUAAAGCCAAUCAAUAUUUAUAUAGGUAUGAAACAAUGUGUACAUUUGCCUUUUAACUAUAAAAACAAAUGCAACAUUGAAAGUGAAAAAAAUUUCUAUUGCUGAUACUUUUACUACUCACAUUGUUGAGGUUAUAAUGAACUCAUAAUUAAAAUUAAAAUACAGUUUUUAUACUGUUUAAAGGGCAAAAUAAAAAGUAAUUAUAUAUAUAAUCAUUUUGUAAAUGAUAUAAUUUAUAAAUCCCUGAAAAUUAUAGCUUCAUCUAGCAAAAAUAUAAUCUCUUAAGCAGCAGCAGUUGCAUAAACUAAUAAGGAAAGGGGCACAAUUAAAUUUUUUUCUAAGCAAGACAAAGGAAAGCUCCGAGUUUCCUGGUAUAGUUUUGGAAGCGGAAUAGUUGAAUUGUUUGAAGAUUGAAUUAAUUUUGCAGGCACACACUUUUGUUUUCAGGCUGUAAAGUUUGGGGGAGAUCUUGAUGUUGAUGGCAGUGGUGGGAUCCAUGCAUGGCAUUUGGAAGAAGGAGAGAAAGGAAGAGAAAUAGGGGAGGAGAGAGGAGGAAAAUGAGGCCAUGAAAUACCUUACACAGUUCCUUGGAUGGAAGGAGGAACGGGGUUCUCCUAAGGAACUGAGUUGAUCUUCAGCUCUCAGGGUUUUCUGGUAGGCUCCAGGUUUCUUCUGACAUCCUAAAGGCCAAUGCUCUUUAAAAAAGAUUCUAGCUCCAUAGCCUCCUUCCCGUCAGAGCUGAGAAUAUCCAUGGUUUUGCAUUUCUCCUGAAUCAAUGGACAUGUUUUUCUUCCAGCUGUGUCCCUCUUUUAACAUAAAGUUGGAUUUCAGCUGAUUAACAUAUAUGGAAAAAAAAAAAGGUAUGAAAAUCCAAAUAUGGCUGCACAUGUCCCAGACUCUCACAAGAGGCUGAGGAAGUUGAGGUCAGGCUCAGGUUGGGCGGGGUCAUGGCAGCCUCCCUACUCACUUUCCUAAGGAUGUUCUCCAAGGGGCGCUGCACAGAGGGCACCCGGGGCACCAUCCCAUAGCCAUGGCUCCACAAGACCACACUCCACACACGCCACAGAGCGACCCCAAGAGUUCAGCCCGGAACCCACAUCAGUGCCUGGGAAGCAGAACUUGGACCUUGGUAGAGGGUUGGACAGACUCAGUGAAGAAUACCUGUGCCCUGGGACUGGCCAGCACAUUCAGUUCCCUCCCUCCUCUCUCUCGUAAUCACAUGCAUGAGACAUAAGGAAACACUGAAAGACUAGUACAUUGAUCGUCCCUAUAGGUACCUGCUAGACAGAACAGUUGACAUUUUCUGAUAUUUACUUCUACCUUUGCCUCUUUUUUUUUU